rnacentral:rRNA from 1 species
GAUGAACGCUAGCGGCAGGCUUAAUACAUGCAAGUCGAGGGGCAGCACAGAUAGCAAUAUUGGGUGGCGACCGGCAAACGGGUGCGGAACACGUACAGAACCUUCCUUCGAGCGGGGAAUAGCCCAGAGAAAUUUGGAUUAAUACCCCAUAGUACAAAGGAGUGGCAUCACUUUGUUGUUAAAGAUUUAUCACUUGAAGAUGGCUGUGCGGCUGAUUAGGUAGUUGGCGGGGUAACGGCCCACCAAGCCUGCGAUCAGUAACUGGUGUGAGAGCACGACCAGUCACACGGGCACUGAGACACGGGCCCGACUCCUACGGGAGGCAGCAGUAAGGAAUAUUGGUCAAUGGACGAAAGUCUGAACCAGCCAUGCCGCGUGGAGGAUGAAGGUCCUCUGGAUUGUAAACUUCUUUUAUAUGGGACGAAAAAAGGGUUUUCUAACUCGUCUGACGGUACCAUAUGAAUAAGCACCGGCUAACUCCGUGCCAGCAGCCGCCGUAAAAC